rnacentral:lncRNA from 1 species
CGUAUCGUGAAAAAGUAUUAACACAUGCAGUUUUGGUUGAUACUGCAACAUGAUUUCGAUGAACAAAUAGGCACUAUUUGUUGCUGUCAAAUAGUUAUUGAUGCUUGUUGCUAAAGUUAUAUGCUCGAGAAAAGUAACAUAAAUCAACAUAGUUGAAAAACUCAUAAAUUUACACAUGUAUCUGCAUCAAGCUUCGGCCGAUUAUUUCUUUUUAAAGAUGCAACUAAGGCAAGAAGUGAGUGUGAAACACCAAUUAGGUGGUGUUACCUAGAGAUGAAUCAGCGAAGAAAUCUUUUGUCUUGUAAAAGGGGAGACAGAGAGUCAGACCAAUGAAGUCAUCACCAAAU